rnacentral:rRNA from 1 species
UACGUAGGGUGCAAGCGUUAAUCGGAAUUACUGGGCGUAUAGCGUGCGCAGGCGGUUUUGUAAGACAGAGGUGAAAUCCCCGGGCUCAACCUGGGAACUGCCUUUGUGACUGCAAGGCUUGAGUGCGGCAGAGGGGGAUGGAAUUCCGCGUGUAGCAGUGAAAUGCGUAGAUAUGCGGAGGAACACCGAUGGCGAAGGCAAUCCCCUGGGCCUGCACUGACGCUCAUGCACGAAAGCGUGGGGAGCAAACAGG